rnacentral:rRNA from 1 species
AUUGAACGCUGGCGGCAGGCCUAACACAUGCAAGUCGAGCGCGAAAGGCUUUCGGGCUGAGUAGAGCGGCGGACGGGUGAGUAACGCGUAGGAAUCUACCUGGUAGUGGGGGACAACUUGGGGAAACUCAAGCUAAUACCGCAUACGCCCUAAGGGGGAAAGUGGGGGACCUUCGGGCCUCACGCUAUCGGAUGAGCCUGCGUAGGAUUAGCUAGUUGGUAGGGUAAAGGCCUACCAAGGCGACGAUCCUUAACUGGUCUGAGAGGAUGAUCAGUCACACUGGAACUGAGACACGGUCCAGACUCCUACGGGAGGCAGCAGUGGGGAAUAUUGGACAAUGGGCGCAAGCCUGAUCCAGCCAUGCCGCGUGUGUGAAGAAGGCCUUCGGGUUGUAAAGCACUUUCACUUGGGAAGAAAAGCUGACCGUUAAUAGCGGUUAGCCGUGACAUUACCUUGAGAAGAAGCCCCGGCUAACUUCGUGCCAGCAGCCGCGGUAAUACGAAGGGGGCUAGCGUUGCUCGGAAUUACUGGGCGUAAAGCGCACGUAGGCGGCUUCUUAAGUCG